UGCCAUCAGUGCCCCAUCGUCGAGCUCCCACCCCCCAGCCUGCCUCUUCUCUUCGUGUGGCCAAGCUGGAAUGGAGGGCACGAUCAAUAUUCGUGGUCGCUAGCGGGGUGCAGCCAGGGGCGGAGUUGGGCCUGGGGCAACUGGGGCUAUAGCCCCAGGCUUGGCCCAUCUAGUAGGCAUACAUUCAUUAGUUUCUUUUUUAUAUUUAUAUACAUACAAGGCCCAGCCCCAGGCGUGCAAGCACAGCCCCAUGUUCAGCCCACGUAAGUUCCCACUUCCCAGCCCAAUGGAGAUGUCCUAUGCCACGACUCGAGACCACCAUAGUUGGUUUGCUGCGCCGCCUCAGCCGCCCGCCGUUUUCCACGGGACAGAUCGGCGUCCCGCGUCUGUACUUGCGUCCAGGCGGCUGGCGCUCGCCGCUCAGAGCACGGAUCAUCGCCUCGUCGACUCCUAGCAGUGCCCUCCGGGACAGGAAGACAGGACAGGUAAUCUUCAGUUUGUUGUAUCUGUCAUCUAAUUUUCUCUAGUUUUCUUUCUAUUUGCCCAAGUCAAUGAGUUUGUGACAUUCAAUUGUAUUACUUUAAUCACUUCUAUUUCAUUGUUAUUUGUUAACAUGAAAUAUUGUUCAAAAUCCAAGAUGAAGAGGAUUCAAACAAUUGAAGAGGAAAUAUUGUUCAAAAUCCUUGAUUCUGCUUUGUCACUACAGCAACCGUAGAAAGAGCUUUCUCAGCUAUGAGCAUUGUCAAAACUGAAUUGCGGAAUAAGAUGAAUGAUGAAUGGAUGAAUCAUCGUUUGGUGUGCUAUAUUGAGCGUGAUGUAUUUGCAAGCAUUGAUGAUAUUAAGAUUAUACAGUGCUAUCAAAAAAUGAGGAAACAAAAGGGGCUACUACCUCGUGCACUUCGUGACAAUGCUCCAGGUCUUUCUACUAUUGCUGGUGAAGAAACAAUUGCCUAGAAUUAAGCAAGUCUUCAUCAAUUUGGUACCAAACAAUGUUUGUAAAAUGCACUUUGUUAAAUUAUUUGUUUUAUCAAAUUUUCUCUCAUGGUAAUAAGGAAUUUACAUUUCAUCUUUAAUGUGAAUUUGUGGCAUACUUCUAGCACAUGUUGGUGUGCAUGCUAUUUGACGUUAUUUUUAGUCAAUUAGUUUUAGCCCUAGGCUUUGAGAAAUCCUGACUCCGUCUCUUGGUGCAGCCAUGCAGGUCACGCCGUUGUUGGCCGUGGAGAACGUGCCCCGUGCGGAAGUCAUGCUGGGCUCGCCGGAGACGCGCUGGCAGUGGCACUACUGCGCCUCAAGCGCGUACCGGUGCCCUCUAAGGCGUCGAGACCCGAACACGGCCGAGGUCUUGGCAGAUGGUGCAGAGCUUAUCAAGCCCGCCGUCGACGGCACCAGGCCGCACGUAGUGGCCCUGCUCGCGGAGCUUCGCUCCUACGACCUACUGUUCGAAUUCACCACGCUCCUAGGUUGCCGAGGUUGCGCCGCUCCAGUUCGCUAUCUUCUCCGUCUUCCUCAUUUGUCACCGUGCCAAUCUCCCAGUCCCAGCUUCCCGGCUUCACCUACAUGUUCACUAGCUUCAAUGAUGAGUCGUGCCUGUAUUGUACGCCCGCGCCAUCGCUAACCUCGAGGACAGUGAUGCCCUCGUGAUCAAAACAUGCGUCGUCAUGAAGUGCUCCGGCACUGAGGAAGCCGUAGCAUGUGGCCGCUACAAGCAGUCCUUGUCGGCAAUACCACGGCAGACAGAGACAUCCAUCAACAGUCGUCGACCCGGAUGGAGGCUCGAAGUUAACGUGGAAGCGCCCUGUUGGGAAUAAGCCGUGCUGAGCCCGGUGUGCGGUGUGCGUGCGUGCGUGCGGUGGCCGCGUCGGACUCGGGCCAGGGCGAGCUUGGGCGCGUGCGUGCGUGCCCAAGUGUAGGUGUGCGUGUGUGCGCGUGGCCGCGUGAGUUAGCUGGCGAGGUUUAGGGGGAGUGGACUGCGUCGGGCGCGCAGCAUGGCCGCGGCGAUCGCGUGCGUGCGUGAUCGGAGCGCGCGAGCCGGCGCAUGCGGGGCGUGGCGAGUGGCAGGUGGGUGCGUUCGAGCGCGGCCCGGCAUGUCGGACCUCGCGGGUAUAAGAUCCACUUCACCUCUGUGUAAUCGCUGACGAGAUCGAGUUCGUGCUCGAGGAGAAAUACAAAGAACCCGUUCGUGUGGGGGGGGGGCGUUCAUGCGCCGGCAAACUCUCUGUAUUCUUCCUCCUCCUCUCUGGUCGUGUGUUCGGUGAUCACCGUCGAGUGCUCGAGAUCGCUGCGCCAACAUUUGGUAUCAAAGCAAGGUGACGGAGCAAGCUGAAGGAGAUCGCCGGCGAUGGCUCUAGUUCCACACGGCGGAGGCAGCGCGGGCGGAUCGGUGUCCAUGGGGAUGCCGGUGCUCACGCCGGACGGCUACACCGUG